UCCGUUAAUUUUCCCUGAAACUAGACUCACAUAUCUUCAUACCAUAAAAUUUUCAUAAUUUUUGGUUCAGCCAAAUAGUACAGUUUAUUCUUUAAAGUUUCCCCUGUUUCGCUGUCUGACAGUUCCGACCACUCUUCACUAAAAUUUAAUUAUCUCAUUGUACAGAAUUCGGAUGAUGUUUUAGCUUGUUUCUUCUAAAAAUAGACUCAUUAAGGAUUCUAACCAUAUAAACUAUAACUCAUAAUCAUUUUUGUACAAUUUUUAAUGAUUUUCCAAAGUCAGAACAGGGGAACCCGAAUUCAUUCUGACCUUGUCUCACAAAAUCUAUUAUAUCUCAUGAUUUACAAUUCCAU
rnacentral:lncRNA from 1 species